CCCUUAGAUGUUCUGGGCCGCACGCGCGCUACACUGAUGCAUUCAACGAGUCUAAAACCUGCUCUGAUAGGGGUGGGUAAUCUUUUGAAUGUGCAUCGUGAUUGGGAUAGAUGAUUGCAAUUUUUCAUCUUCAACGAGGAAUGCCUAGUAAACGCAAGUCAUCAGCUUGCAUUGAUUACGUCCCUGCCCUUUGUACACACCGCUCGUCGCUCCUACCGAUUGAAUGAUCCGAUGAAUAUCAUGGAUUGAGGAUGCAAGCAGGUUCGCCUGUCUUCAUCUUCGAGAAGUGAAGUAAAUCUUAUCAUUUAGAGGAAGGAGAAGUCGUAACA
rnacentral:rRNA from 1 species